AUGGAGCAGGGGGAGGAGGACGGGGACUGGAUGAUGGAGCCGGCGGCGGGGAAGAAGGGCGGGGUGAUGAUCGACAGGAAGAAGCGCUUCAGCGAGGAGCAGAUCAAGUCGCUCGAGUCCAUGUUCGCCACGCAGACCAAGCUGGAGCCCCGCCAGAAGCUGCAGCUGGCCCGGGAGCUCGGCCUGCAGCCGCGCCAGGUCGCCAUCUGGUUCCAGAACAAGCGCGCGCGCUGGAAGUCCAAGCAGCUCGAGCGCCAGUACGCCGCGCUCCGCGACGACUACGACGCGCUCCUCUCCAGCUACGACCAGCUCAAGAAGGACAAGCAAGCGCUCGUCAACCAGCUGGAGAAGCUGGCGGAGAUGCUGCGGGAGCCGGGCGGGGCCAAGUGCGGAGAUAAUGCCGGCGCUGCCGCCAGGGACGACGUGCGCUUGGCCGUGGCCGGCAUGAGCAUGAAGGACGAGUUCGUGGACGCUGGCGGGGCCAGCAAGCUAUACUCGGCGUCCGAGGGCUGCGGCGGCAGCGGCAAGCUCUCGCUCUUCGGCGAGGACGACGACGACGCGGGCCUCUUCCUCCGGCCCUCGCUGCAGCUGCCAACCGCGCACGACGGCGGCUUCACGGCGUCGGGGCCGGCCGAGUACCAGCAGCAGUCGCCGUCGUCGUUCCCGUUCCACUCGAGCUGGCCGUCGUCCGCGGCGGAGCAGACCUGCAGCAGCUCCCAAUGGUGGGAGUUCGAGUCCCCGAGCGAGUAA
rnacentral:rRNA from 1 species